GCUCAAAUUUGAAAUCUCCUAGGUUCCCUAGGCGAAUUGUAGUUUAGAGAAGCGUUUUCGGGGCUGGCCUCAGUACAAGUUCUUUGGAACGAGACAUCACAGAGGGUGAAAAUCCCGUCUAUGACUGAGUGUCCGGCUCUAUGUGAUACGUUUUCCAAGAGUCGGUUUGUUUGGGAAUGCAGACCAAAAUGGGUGGUAAAUACCAUCUAAAGCUAAAUAUUGGCGUGAGACCGAUAGCGAACAAGUACCGUGAGGGAAAGAUGAAAAGAACUUUGAAAAGAGAGUUAAAUAGUACGUGAAAUUGUUAAAAGGGAAACGUUUGAAACCAGUAUUGCGGGCAGGAGUUCAGCGGUGGUUUACUGCCGUGUUUUCUCUUGUCAGCGAGUCAACAUCAGUUUGACGUGGGGUAAAAAGCUGUUGGAAGGUAGCCUUCGGGUGUUAUAGCCAACAGUCAUGCCUUGUGUUGGACUGAGGUCUGCAGCUUGUGUCUGUGCCGGUUGCCUUUCGAAGUGCUGGAGCUAACUGCAUGCGGAUAGUUCUAAGUAUUAGGGAGCUCGGUCGGUUACUAAUCAGGUUUAGGAUGUUGACGAAAUGGUUUUAAGCGACCCGUCUUGAAACACGGACCAAGGAGUCUAACAUAUAUGCGAGUAUUUGGGUGGAAAACCCUUAUGCGUAAUGAAAGUGAAAAGGUGGGAUCCUUUAUUGGUGCACCAUCGACCGCGCCAGAUUAUUACUAUCUCGGCGUGAGUAUGAGCAUACAUGUUGGGACCCGAAAGAUGGUGAACUAUGCCUGAAUAGGGUGAAGCCAGAGG
rnacentral:rRNA from 1 species